GUUGAGAUUACAGGCUGUGUCACUGCAUUCAGCUGGGUUAUACAAGAUUUUGUAAGGAUGAAAUGAGAAAAUGCAUAGAAAGCAUUACAGUGCCUGGAAUACAAGCUGCUGCAGCAGAGCUGAGAACCACAUAAGUGACUAAUCCAGAGUUUGGCUAUAGCAGUCCUGCUCACAUGCUAAGGAUGUAACUGUGAAACAGAAUUUGGAAACAGCAAUACCAAUAACCUGCUGCUGCUGGUGACCUUGAGGGGUGUACGUCUGAGAGUACACAAAGUCUCAGGUUCAUGCUUCAGCAAGCAAGGAGAGUGACAUUUAAACUUUCUUCUGGUACCACCACCCCUGCAAGAAUAGAAAACCACACCUUGUGUGUUCUCC
rnacentral:lncRNA from 1 species